rnacentral:lncRNA from 10 species
CGUGGCAAAACUGCUGACGAGUGUACCCUUUCUACAGAAAGUAAAAAAAGGAAAAAAAGGCCUUGCUGAGGAAAUUAAACUUAUGUUCAAGUGCUAUUUCUUUAUGGCACCUAGGAACAAGCAUUUCUAACAGUAAGACUCUGUCUCAAAAAAAAAAAAGAAAGACAAAAAAAAAAAAUAUUUAAAGCUAGAAAUGCCCCUAGUUGGAUUUUGUGAGUCAACAGAUCAUAAAGAUUAAGAAAAGGCUCAGCAUCUGCUGAUCUGGGUUCAAAUCCCAGCUACACAACUCACAGCGUGCGAACCUGGCAGGGCCUCUAAGAUCUCAGUUUCCUCAUCUGUGAAAUGGGGAAACAACAGCACCAGCAUUCAACAAAGCAUUCCAUAAAUGCAAGCUGUUAGCCCAGCGUGGAGACCGAUAUUCUGGAAGUUGGUAAUGAAGAAACUGAGGCCCCAGAGGCACAGACACUGGCCCAAGUUUGCACACGAAGCUGGGGACACAGCUGAGAUGGGAGCCCAGACAGACGGGUUACAGCAAGAUUCCUGACCAACCACGCAGGCGGGCCGCGCAGUCCAGCAGCCAAGAGAACAGGCUCUAGAGGCCACCUGCCUGGGCAACAUUGGGAUGAAUUCACUCAACGGACAUUUGCUUAACUGUAGGAGAAGAGGGAAAAGGGGAAAUCAAAGACAUCUUUGAAGUGCCAAGCCAGGAAAGCUUAAAGUGCACUCAUUCCAAAAAAUUCAUCGAGUACCUCUUAGGUAUGAUACAUAUUGGUGCUAGAGAUUCAGAAAUAAGGAUGAUUGUAUCCAUUUUAAUCAUAUUACCUCCUAUAACAAGUAAACUCCCACAUUUCAGUGACUUUAUGAAAUAUUUCUCACUCCCUCACAGAUACACCUGUCUGCUCUCUUCUUCAG